rnacentral:rRNA from 1 species
AUACGUAGGGGGCGAGCGUUGUCCGGAAUGACUGGGCGUAAAGGGCGUGUAGGCGGCCGAUUAAGUCUGGAGUGAAAGUCCUGCUUUCAAGGUGGGAAUUGCUUUGGAGACUGGUUGGCUUGAGUGCGGAAGAGGUAAGUGGAAUUCCCAGUGUAGCGGUGAAAUGCGUAGAGAUUGGGAGGAACACCAGUGGCGAAGGCGACUUACUGGACUGUAACUGACGCUGAGGCGCGAAAGUGUGGGGAGCAAACAGGAUUAGAUACCCUGGUAGUCCACACUGUAAACGAUGAAUGCUAGGUGUAGGGGGUAUCGACCCCUUCUGUGCCGCAGUCAACACAAUAAGCAUUCCGCCUGGGGAGUACGGCCGCAAGGUUGAAACUUAAAGGAAUUGGCGGGG